AAAGCAAACAAAUUAAGCCAAUGGGUGCUAAUUAUUCACACACAAAUUCACAACAAUUUAGCAAUCAUCAGUUCUACAUGGAAUCAAAUUCAAGUUAGGAGUUUUCUCUUGAUUCUUCAAAUUGUAUUCAUCAUCGAAUCUCAAAGAUUUACAAAGCUUCAUAUUAAUUCAAGAGUUUCAAGUUUACAAAUAAACUCCAUUUGGAUUACAAGAGAGCAAAAUCAAGUCUUUUUACCUAAGCAUCAAAGUGUUUCAUCAAUUAAACAAUUGAACAUUCAAGUUGUUACACUUAUGCUUUCAGUAUCAAUAUCACAAGAACAU